GCGGAAAGAAGCUAUCUGAGAACCACCUUUGUUUACCAUGUUCAGGGUGUAAUCAGCACAUUCCCUCUGCAAGACUUUAUCACCACCGACGGCUAUGCAUUCGAGCAGGUACAGGAAAGGCAUCAAAAGGUGCAAAGAUCCCCACUCGACAACCGUCUUCAGAUCAACCAGGGAACGUGAACCCACAUCGUCCUCUCUCACCUCAACCAGGAUCGUCUAGAUCACUCUCACCUCAACCAGGCCCGUCUAGAAUAGUCUCACCUCAACCCGGUCCGUCAAGGGUUAUUACACCGGAACCACCGCGUGUUUAUGUGAAUAGAAAAAACGGUGAUAGCGACAGUGAAGUGCAUAGUGAAAGAGAAGACGAUGA